GUAUAAAUUACUCUAGUUUCUAGGUGAGUGUUCAGUAUCUUCCGUCAAAAUGAAACAAUUAAUGUUGACUUCGAGUUUAUUUGUACUAAUCUGCUCUUCAAUUUCCGCAGUUUCAGGUGGAAAUGUGUUUUGUUACUUCGCAAGUUGGACAACGUACAGACCAGGAAACGGGAAAUUUGACGUGAGUAACAUAGACCCCUCUCUCUGUACUCACAUUAGCUUUGCAUUUGUUGGAGUAGGAGAAAAUGCAACUGUUCGCAUCAUAGAUCCUUGGGAAUCCAACGAAGAUUAUGGUCCUAAGGGGUUCGAGCAUUUGGUGGGUCUCAAGCAACAAAAUCCCAAUUUGAAAGUUUNACGUAGAU